GAUGAACGCUGGCGGCGUGCCUAAUACAUGCAAGUCGAGCGAACAGACGAUGAGCUUGCUCCUCUUACGUUAGCGGCGGACGGGCGAGUAACACGUGGAUAACCUACCUAUAAGACUGAGAUAACUUCGGGAAACCGGAGCUAAUACCGGAUAAUAUAUUGAACCGCAUGGUUCAAUAGUGAAAGACGGUUUUGCUGUCACUUAUAGAUGGAUCGGCGCCGCAUUAGCUAGUUGGUAAGGUAACGGCUUACCAAGGCGACGAUGCGUAGCCGACCUGAGAGGGUGAUAGGCCACACUAGAACUGAGACACGGUCCAGACUCCUACGGGAGGCAGCGGUGGGGAAUCUUCCGCAAUGGGCGAAAGCCUGACGGAGAAAAGCCGCGUGAGGGAUGAAGGUAUUCGGAUAGUAAAACUCUGUUAUUAGGGAAGAACAAAUGUGUAAGUAACGAUGCACGUCUUGACGGUACCUAAUCAGAAAGCAACGGCUAACUACGUG
rnacentral:rRNA from 1 species